rnacentral:rRNA from 1 species
UACGGAGGGUGCAAGCGUUAUCCGGAUUUAUUGGGUUUAAAGGGUCCGUAGGCGGGUUCGUAAGUCAGUGGUGAAAUCCUACAGCUUAACUGUAGAACUGCCAUUGAUACUGCGAGUCUUGAGUGUAGUUGAGGUAGCUGGAAUGAGUAGUGUAGCGGUGAAAUGCAUAGAUAUUACUCAGAACACCAAUUGCGAAGGCAGGUUACCAAGUUACAACUGACGCUGAUGGACGAAAGCGUGGGGAGCGAACAGG